rnacentral:rRNA from 1 species
CGUGUCGUGAGAUGUUCGGUUAAGUCCGGCAACGAGCGCAACCCGCAUCUUUAGUUGCCAGCAGGUUAAGCUGGGCACUCUAGAGAAACUGCCCGUGAUAAGCGGGAGGAAGGCGUGGAUGACGUCAAGUCCUCAUGGCCCUUACGGGUUGGGCUACACACGUGCUACAAUGGCAGUGACAAUGGGUUAAUCCCCAAAAGCUGUCUCAGUUCGGAUUGCGGUCUGCAACUCGACCCCAUGAAGUCGGAAUCGCUAGUAAUCGCGUAACAGCAUGACGCGGUGAAUACGUUCCCGGGCCUU